rnacentral:rRNA from 1 species
UGGGGAAUAUUGGACAAUGGGCGCAAGCCUGAUCCAGCCAUGCCGCGUGAGUGAUGAAGGCCCUAGGGUUGUAAAGCUCUUUCACCGGUGAAGAUAAUGACGGUAACCGGAGAAGAAGCCCCGGCUAACUUCGUGCCAGCAGCCGCGGUAAUACGAAGGGGGCUAGCGUUGUUCGGAUUUACUGGGCGUAAAGCGCACGUAGGCGGACUAUUAAGUCAGGGGUGAAAUCCCGGGGCUCAACCCCGGAACUGCCUUUGAUACUGGUAGUCUUGAGUUCGAGAGAGGUGAGUGGAAUUCCGAGUGUAGAGGUGAAAUUCGUAGAUAUUCGGAGGAACACCAGUAGCGAAGGCGGAUCACUGGAACGAUACUGACGCUGAGGUGCGAAAGCGUGGGGAGCAAACAGG